rnacentral:pre_miRNA from 1 species
UGUGCGCCGUGGUCAAGUGCUCAGACUUCCGUGGUGGCUGCUUAUGCACCACGGGUAUUUGAGCAUGUGCUAUGGUGUCUA